GAUGAACGCUGGCGGCGUGCUUAACACAUGCAAGUCGAACGGAAAGGCUCCUGCUUGCAGGGGUACUCGAGUGGCGAACGGGUGAGUAACACGUGGGUGAUCUGCCCUGCACUUCGGGAUAAGCCUGGGAAACUGGGUCUAAUACCGGAUAGGACGAUGGUUUGGAUGCCAUUGUGGAAAGUUUUUCGGUAUGGGAUGAGCUGGCGGCCUAUCAGCUUGUUGGUGGGGUAAUGGCCUACCAAGGCGUCGAAGGGUAGCCGGCCUGAGAGGGUGGACGGGCACAAUGGGACUGAGAGACGGCGCAGACUCCAACGGGAGGCAGCAGUGGGGAAUAUUGCACAAUGGGCGCAAGUCGGAGGCAGCGACGCCGCGUUGGGGAUGACGGCCUUCGGGUUGUAAACUGCUGUCGCUAGAGACGAAGCGCAAGUGACGGUACCUGGAGAAGAAGCACCGGCUAACUACGUG
rnacentral:rRNA from 1 species